rnacentral:rRNA from 1 species
GAUGAACGCUAGCUACAGGCUUAACACAUGCAAGUCGAGGGGCAGCAUGAAGUCAGCUUGCUGACUUUGAUGGCGACCGGCGCACGGGUGAGUAACGCGUAUCCAACCUUCCCGUUACUCAGGGAUAGCCUUCCGAAAGGGAGAUUAAUACCUGAUGGUGUUGAAAUUCCGCAUGUUAUUUCAACUAAAGAUUUAUCGGUAACGGAUGGGGAUGCGUGACAUUAGAUAGUAGGCGGGGUAACGGCCCACCUAGUCUACGAUGUCUAGGGGUUCUGAGAGGAAGGUCCCCCACACUGGAACUGAGACACGGUCCAGACUCCUACGGGAGGCAGCAGUAGGGAAUAUUGCACAAAUGGGGGGAACCCUGAUGCAGCCAUGCCGCGUGUGUGAAGAAGGCC